rnacentral:rRNA from 1 species
UACGGAGGGUGCAAGCGUUAUCCGGAUUUACUGGGUUUAAAGGGUGCGUAGGUGGGCAGUUAAGUCAGCGGUGAAAUCUCUGGGCUUAACCCAGAAACUGCCAUUGAUACUAUCUGUCUUGAAUAUCCUGGAGGUGAGCGGAAUAUGUCAUGUAGCGGUGAAAUGCUUAGAUAUGACAUAGAACACCAAUUGCGAAGGCAGCUCACUACGGGGUUAUUGACACUGAGGCACGAAGGCCAGGGGAGCAAACGGG